rnacentral:rRNA from 1 species
GAUGAACGCUGGCGGCGUGCCUAAUACAUGCAAGUCGAGCGAACAGACGAGGAGCUUGUUCCUCUGAUGUUAGCGGAGGACGGGUGAGUAACACGUGGAUCACCUCCCUAUCAGACUGGGAUAACUUCGGGACACCGGCGCUAAUACCGGAUAACCUGUUGAACCGCAUGGUUCAACAGUGAAAGACGGUCUUGCUGUCACUUAUAGCUGGAUCCGCGCUGCAUUAGAUAGUUGGUAAGGUCACGGGCUUCCAAGGCAACGAUGCGUCGCCGAACGGAGAGGCGGAUCGGCCACACUGGAAGGGGGACGCGCUCAUGACGCCUACGGGAGGCAGCAGAAGGGAAUGGGACGCAAGAGGCGAGAGCCUGACGGAACAACGCCGCGUGAGAGAAGGAGGUCCUCGGAGCGUAAUACUCGCUUAUGAGGGAAGAACAAAUGUGGAAUGAAAUAAGCACGUCGUGACGGUACCGAAUCAGAAAGCCACGGCUAACUACGUG